rnacentral:rRNA from 4 species
CCCAGGUCAGGCGGGGCUACCCGCUGAAUUUAAGCAUAUCAAUAAGCCGGAGGAA